rnacentral:rRNA from 1 species
AGUGAACGCUGGCGGUAGGCCCAACACAUGCAAGUCGAACGGCAGCACAGUAAGAGCUUGCUCUUACGGGUGGCGAGUGGCGGACGGGUGAGGAAUACAUCGGAAUCUACUUUUUCGUGGGGGCUAACGUAGGGAAACUUACGCUAAUACCGCAUACGACCUACGGGUGAAAGCAGGGGAUCUUCGGACCUUGCGCGAUUGAAUGAGCCGAUGUCGGAUUAGCUAGUUGGCGGGGUAAAGGCCCACCAAGGCGACGAUCCGUAGCUGGUCUGAGAGGAUGAUCAGCCACACUGGAACUGAGACACGAUCCAGACUCCUACGGGAGGCAGCAGUGGGGAAUAUUGGACAAUGGGCGCAAGCCUGAUCCAGCCAUACCGCGUGGGUGAAGAAGGCCUUCGGGUUGUAAAGCCCUUUUGUUGGGAAAGAAAAGCAGCAGGUUAAUACCCCGCUGUUCUGACGGUACCCAAAGAAUAAGCACCGGCUAACUUCGUG